rnacentral:lncRNA from 1 species
AAAGGAAAGAAAGGCAAAGAGGGAAAAUGCCAUCAUACAUCCAAGUCUUUGAUGCUAUUAAUAAGGCAAAACUUUUAAACUGAGGUUGGUUCAUUAUCAUGGACCUUAAUAUCAAUAUCACCUGAGGGCAAAGUAACCUAGGGAACAUCCAAAAGGCAUGUAAUUCAUCUCCCCACUGGUGGAAGAAUAAGAGAUCAAUUUACAGAAAUCAGUUAUAUUCCUCAUUACUAGCAGCAAACAACUGGAAAAUUAAAUCUAUAAAACUAUUCCAUUUACAAGAGCAUCAAAAUAUAUAAAAUAUUCAUGAUUAAAUUUAACAAGAAUUGGAGUUCCUAUCAUGGCGCAGUGGUUAACAAAUCUGACUAGGAACCAUGAGGUUGCAAGUUCGAUCCGUGGCCUUACUCAAUGGGUUAAGGAUCUGGUGUUGCCAUGGGCUGUGGUGUACGUUGCAGAUGCGGCUCUGAUCCCGUGUUGCUGUGGUUGUGGCAUAGGCCAGCAGCUACAGCUCUGAUUAGACCCCUAGCCUGGGAACCUCCAUAUGCCAAGGAAAUCUCAAUAUUACUAAAAUGCAACGCUUUCAAAAUUGCUCUAUGGAGUCAAUAUAAUCUCAAUCAAAAUUUCACCAGGUUCUGGUAGACAAGUUGAUUCUAAAAUGUAUGUAGAGGAGAUGGGAUUAAGAUGGCAGAAUAGAAGGACUGGAGCUCAACUUGUCUCCUAAAAAUGACAAAAUUCACAACUAAAGACUGAGCAUUCUUCACCCAAAUGGACCAGAAACCUUAAAAAAGAUAUCCUACUCCAGAAGAAAAAGAGGAGGACACAUCAAGAGGUAGGAGGAGCAAUUUCACGAUAUAAACAACCCCAUACCUCCUGGGUGGGAAGACCCACAGACUGUAAACUAACUGGUUCACAGAGACUCACCUACAGGAGUGAGAGGUCUGAACCCCACAUCAAACUCUCAUGUGUGGGGAUCUGGUUCGGGGAAAAAGAGCCCCUGGAGAAUCUGGCAUUAAAGGCCAGUGGGGCUUGUGCACAGGAGCUCCAUGGGACUGGGGGAAAUGGAGACCCCAUUCUUAAAAGGCACACACAGACUUUCACAUGCACUGAGUCCCAGGGCAAAGCAAAGUCUCCAUGGGAAUCUGGCUCAAACCUGACUGCAGUUCUUGGAGGACAUCCUGGGAAAACAGGGGUGAAUGUGGCUUGUUGUGAGGGAGGGACAUUGAAAGCAAAGCUCUCAGGAAUAUUCAGCAGCAUGCCUUUCUCUGGAGGUGGCCAUUUUGGGAAAAUCUGGCCACUCCCCCUCAGUCAGCUGCUGAGAAGCCCCAGGGCAAACAACAAUCCAGGUGGGAUCACAGCCCUGCCCCUCAGUAAACAGGCUACCUAAAGACCCCUCAGGCACACACAGCUGCUUCUAAUCCCAUCCAGAGACAACACCCCACCCACCAGAGGGAUUAGAAUCAGCUCCACCUA